UACGUAGGGUGCGAGCGUUGUCCGGAAUUAUUGGGCGUAAAGAGCUUGUAGGCGGUUUGUCGCGUCUGCCGUGAAAAUCCGGGGCUCAACCCCGGACUUGCGGUGGGUACGGGCAGACUAGAGUGUGGUAGGGGAGACUGGAAUUCCUGGUGUAGCGGUGAAAUGCGCAGAUAUCAGGAGGAACACCGGUGGCGAAGGCGGGUCUCUGGGCCAUUACUGACGCUGAGGAGCGAAAGCGUGGGGAGCGAACAGG
rnacentral:rRNA from 1 species